rnacentral:lncRNA from 13 species
UAGCCUGGCCUUUUGUGAAUCUGAAUGUCUUUUAGACAAAGGAGUAUAAUCUUUCCCUAGUAAAUAUUUGUAUAAUCAGGAUUUUGUGAAUCUGCACUCAUUUUAAAUCAUCAGUUUUCUCAGAGAAGACUGUGUAAUGAAGGGAGACCAAGAAGAACACUGCUCCAUUGAUUCCUAUCAAGCCAUGAGGAUACUGAACUUUAGUCAUCACUGGGGAAGUUCUCCUGACAUUCUCUCAGCUCUGGGUUUAUCUGCAUUGACAGGACAAUAAAAAUUCUUGUCUAUCACUCUACUGCCAUCACCUUUGGCUUCUGGACUUGGUUGUGGAAGAAUUUAAUGGAGUUCAUCAUCACCUCUAAAGGAAAACAGGUCUGCUGCUUGUGUUACACAAGGGGACAAAGACCAGGUGAAGCAAACAGGAAACAUCAUCCACAACAGGAGAGAGAAACGGAGCACAGACUUCCUCUGUUCAUAAAGUACUGAAAAUACUCACAAGCAGCCUGGGAAUAAAGACCUGUGACCAAGAUGGGGGGGGGUUUAUGGCACAAAGGUCCCAUGGGACCAUUAUAGAAAGGCAGGCUGUGACCUGGUGACACCAGCAUUAGAGCUUUUCUUUAUACAGCCAGGACACUUCCUGCCUUGCUUGAAAUGGACAAAAGCCAUGCUUUUGUAGAGGAUUUCAGGAUGGUUUCUUCCUGACUUUGAAGAAGAAAAAAGAAUGAUUUCUUUGGUGGUUUUCCAUUGUUGGAAUGCUUUUUCUGGAGGAAAAAAAUAAAAAACCUGAGGUGUUUG